UAUUGAAUUGGGGUGUUUGUUAAAGUUGUAGGUUCUUGUAGUUGAAAAUACAACGCUGGUUUUUCAGACCAAAGUUCUUGGAUAGAAGCCCAGCAGGAAUUGUUAUGACAUAUUUCAUACUUUUUUUAAGUGUUAGUUUUAUUUUGGGGGGGUUAACAGUUGCUUCUAACCCUUCUUCUUAUUAUGCGGUGGUAGGGCUGGUGCUAGUGUCUAUUGUAGGGUGUGGGUGGUUAAUGAGUUUAGGGGUGUCUUUUGUAGCGUUGGUGUUAUUUUUUGUAUAUUUAGGUGGGGUGUUGGUGGGUUUUGUAUAUUCGGUUUCAUUAGCAGCGGAUCUUUUUCCUGAGACUUGAGGAGACUGGUGAGUUGUUGGGUAUGGUAUUGGGUUGAUUUUAAGGUUGGGGGGAGGGACAUUUGUUAUAGGGCUGUCUGAGUUACGGUGGUUGGGGAUGGACACGGUGGAUAGUGGGGGUGUUUCUUCUGUUCGGUUAGAUUUUGAGGGUGUGGCUAUGUUUUAUUCUUGGGGGGUGGGGCAAUUUUUAGUUGCGGGUUGGUGUUUGUUGUUGACGUUGUUUGUUGUGCUAGAGCUUGUACGAGGGCUGUCUCGGGGGGCAGUUCGGAAUAGCACACGUCCGAG